GACGAACGCUGGCGGCGUGCUUAACACAUGCAAGUCGAACGGAAAGGCCCUUCGGGGUACUCGAGUGGCGAACGGGUGAGUAACACGUGGGUGAUCUGCCCUGCACUUUGGGAUAAGCCUGGGAAACUGGGUCUAAUACCGAAUAUGACCGCGCUCUUCAUGGGGUGUGGUGGAAAGCUUUUGCGGUGUGGGAUGGGCCCGCGGCCUAUCAGCUUGUUGGUGGGGUAAUGGCCUACCAAGGCGACGACGGGUAGCCGGCCUGAGAGGGUGACCGGCCACACUGGGACGGAGAUACUGCCCAGACUCCUACGGGAGGCAGCAGUGGGGAAUAUUGCACAAUGGGCGCAAGCCUGAUGCAGCGACGCCGCGUGAGGGAUGACGGCCUUCGGGUUGUAAACCUCUUUCAAUAGGGACGAAGCGCAAGUGACGGUACCUAUAGAAGAAGGACCGGCCAACUACGUGCCAGCCGCCGCGGUAAUAC
rnacentral:rRNA from 1 species